UACAGAGGGUGCAAGCGUUGUUCGGAAUUAUUGGGCGUAAAGCGCGUGUAGGCGGCUUUGCAAGUCGGGUGUGAAAGCCCUCAGCUUAACUGAGGAAGUGCGCCCGAAACUGCAGAGCUCGAGUACCGGAGAGGAUGGCGGAAUUCCCCAAGUAGAGGUGAAAUUCGUAGAUAUGGGGAGGAACACCGGUGGCGAAGGCGGCCAUCUGGACGGAUACUGACGCUGAGACGCGAAAGCGUGGGUAGCAAACAGG
rnacentral:rRNA from 1 species